rnacentral:rRNA from 1 species
GAUGAACGCUGGCGGCGUGCUUAACACAUGCAAGUCGAACGAUGAUGCCCAGCUUGCUGGGUGGAUUAGUGGCGAACGGGUGAGUAACACGUGAGUAACCUGCCCUUGACUCUGGGAUAAGCCUGGGAAACUGGGUCUAAUACCGGAUACGACCAUCUGGCGCAUGUCAUGGUGGUGGAAAGCUUUUGUGGUUUUGGAUGGACUCGCGGCCUAUCAGCUUGUUGGUGGGGUAAUGGCCUACCAAGGCGACGCGGGGAAGCCGGCCUGGGAGGGUGACCGGCACCACUGGGACUGAGACACGGCCCAGACUCCAACGGGAGGCAGCGGUGGGGAAUAUUGCACAAUGGGCGCAAGCCUGAUGCAGCGACGCCGCGUGAGGGAUGACGGCCUUCGGGUUGUAAACCUCUUUCAGUAGGGAAGAGGCGAAAGUGACGGUACCUGCAGAAGAAGCGCCGGCUAACUACGUG